GACCAACGCUGGCGGCGUGCUUAACACAUGCAAGUCGUACGGUAAGGCCCUUUCGGGGGUACACGAGUGGCGAACGGGUGAGUAACACGUGAGUAACCUGCCCACAACUUUGGGAUAACGCUAGGAAACUGGUGCUAAUACUGGAUAUGUGCUCCUGCUGCAUGGUGGGGGUUGGAAAGCUCCGGCGGUUGUGGAUGGACUCGCGGCCUAUCAGCUUGUUGGUGGGGUAGUGGCCUACCAAGGCGGCGACGGGUAGCCGGCCUGAGAGGGUGACCGGCCACAUUGGGACUGAGAUACGGCCCAGACGCCUACGGGAGGCAGCAGUGGGGAAUAUUGCACAAUGGGCGCAAGCCUGAUGCAGCAACGCCGCGUGCGGGAUGACGGCCUUCGGGUUGUAAACCGCUUUCAGCAGGGACGAAGCUUUUUGUGACGGUACCUGCAGAAGAAGCACCGGCUAACUACGUG
rnacentral:rRNA from 1 species